ACAGAAUUCACAAUCGAGAAUUUUUGGCGAGGUCGUCUCCCGGUCGCUCCAGUAAGCUCAUCUUCUCUCGUGAAGGGGUGGUCUUCAGAGCGCAACGGGGUCGCAACGUACAUGGAAGCGCCGCUCACCUUAAGCAGGGAAUUAAGCCCUGAUGACGACCCACAUACCAGCCCUAUAAUAUUGAUAUCCGCUCCUGGUGCAGUGGGCAAGUCGACUCUGGCGCGUCAAAUAGCCUUCGAAACCGCUGCGGUAUACGUAGAUCUCGCAAAGGCUGAUCCCGUAGGCGCG
rnacentral:misc_RNA from 1 species